ensembl:lncRNA
CACAGAGAGCCUUAUUAGAAGACUCCAGGCUGACAUCCCUGUUGCUGAGCUUCAGAGUUCAGGAAAGGAAAUACAGUAAAGAAGGAGGCUGACUAUUGAGCACAGAUUAUAAGGAGACAUAGUGCUAGAUGAUUUUACACACAUUGCUAUGUUAAAACAUAAACCAUGGACCAAAAGCCAGAAAGAGAACUGAAAGCUGUGUGAAGUAUUCGCCUUGGAUUUAGAGAGUUAAAGUAAAGCCCAAGCCAGAGUAUCCUCCUCUCCCACUAAAAGGGAUUGAACUCGGGUCCUUGCGUUUACGCAGC